UUGUUACUCCCUCCGUCCCAAAAUUCUUGUCUUAGAUUUGUUUAGAUAUGGAUGUAUCUAAUACUAAAACAUGACUUGAUACAUCCAUAUUUAGACAAAUGUAAGACAAGAAUUUUGGGACGGAGGGAGUACUUA
rnacentral:pre_miRNA from 1 species